UGGCGCCCAGACUAGACCGGCAGAUGGGGAGAAACAAAAACAACAGAUCGUAUUAAAGGCCUGCUUGCAUCCGCUGCAAUUCUCGUCCAAUGCAACGGAGAAAAUUUCUGGUCCUUCUCUCGCAGCGGCAGAGUGCUGCUGCAUGGAGGAGUGAGCCGCCGGGUCAUAGUGCCCGUCAUUUACACAUCCUGCUAGCCAGUGUGCAAGCGCCUGAGGAGAGCUGGGUGGUUUGCGUCAGUCUCGCUCUGUUGCGUCCUUUUGCCGAGACUUGGCUGGAUCCUGGAGGGUGCCAUUCAGCCGGAUUUCUCUUUUUCCGUGUGCCGAUCCGACGGCCACAUUCUGCUUUAUGAUGAAUCAUGCACACUUUGAAGAUGCUGACGGCAUAACAUUUCACUGAUGUGACGACGAUGUCACGUGACAAAUCAAAUUGAUUGAUUGAUUGAUUGAUUGAGCUAAUCACAACCUGUCACGAGCUAUCAAUCAAUUGUAUUUGAGUACAUAAAAUACAAUUAAAAAUGUCAAUAUGUAGAUUGUCAAACACCCAACCCAAAAAAUAAGCAAUCAUUCUUCAUAUCAGCACGAAAGAUGAAGAUUUCACUGCCAAAUCCUCAUCUACACACACACACACACACACACACACACACACACACACACACACACACACACACACAUGCACACAAACAAAGAAUGAUAUAAUUUUGCACUUAUAGUCCUUGAAAAGUCUGCGGAUACCUAAUAUCAAACUUUAGGUGGCUGUGACUGUCAGAGAACACGACUAGCAUUAGGACCCAUCCGUCAAACCUCUAUCAUGUCAAACCUCCAUGGCCAAUAACACAUCCGUUGGGUUAUAUGCAUAUACUGUCUACGGUUAUAUGCAGGACACGUUGUUGCUUCCUGCAUUCUGCAUCUGGCCUGAUAGAUACAUUAGACAGUAGCCUAUCAGUGAGGUAUAGACAAAGCAUUUUCGUUUUGAAUCUACCCACACUGUCUUGGUUUCUAAAUGUUGUACGGGGGCUCAUUUAUCUACAAGGCCACAACACAUUCAUACAGCUGUUUCACACAUGGCAAAGAACAACAUAGAUUGUCCUCCACAUUUCCUCUUGUCCUAUUAUUUAACUCACAUCAGUUGAAGGUCUAUUUUGAAGGACAUAACUAGAGAAGUAUUGCCUGAGAACAAAGUGAACUGAUGUGCUGUCAAACAGGAUGUACAUCACUUUUCAGUAAGGCAUAGUACCAUCCAGCUAGCUUUCAUGUACAAGUGUGUGACUGUGGUCUAUAGCAAGUCCUGUAGCGAAGACAUUAAACAAAUUAACAGUUUCUCUGGUGGUGAAUGGUGGUGUCCUAUGUAAGCCAUAAAUGUUUUGUUUUUUGAAACGUAAUGUAU